rnacentral:rRNA from 1 species
AUACGGAGGAUCCGAGCGUUAUCCGGAUUUAUUGGGUUUAAAGGGUGCGCAGGCGGCCAUUUAAGUCAGCGGUUAAAUCGUGGGGCUCAACCCCAUUCUGCCGUUGAUACUGGGUGGCUUGAUUGCGGUCGAGGUUGGCGGAAUUCGUUGUGUAGCGGUGAAAUGCAUAGAUAUGACGAAGAACACCGAUUGCGUGGGCAUCAGACCAGACCGCAAAAGUCGCUCAUGCACGAAAGUGCGGGGAACGAACAGGAUUAGAUUCCCUGGUUGACCGCACAGGAAACGAUGAAUACUUGUUUUCGGCGAUAUAAUGUCGGAGGCAAAGCGAAAGCGAUAAGUAGUCCACCUGGGGAGUACGCCGGCAACGGUGAAACUCAAAGGAAUUGACGUGG